GAUCCGAGCUAUGUCUGCGACCUACACCACGGCUCAUGGCAACGCCGGAUCCUUAACCCGCUGAGCGAGGCCAGGGGUCGAACCUGCAUCCUCAUGGACACUAGUUGGAUUCUUAACCCACAGAGCCACAACGGGCACACCAAGGAGAGAUUUCUUAAAGCAAAAAACAUUGAGACGCAACACACGUGAGCAGAUGAAGUGGCAGCCCUGUGCUGUGGUGCACGAGUGGGCUUUGGGGUCACCUGUCAUGAUGAAGGGAGAUGCUGUGUCCUUGCCCCUAGCAGACAGGCGGGUCCUUGCUUUCCUGGGGCUUCCCGAGGGUAAAGAACUUGCUCCAUUUACACGUGUCGUAAGGAGAGAACCAGGGUUUGAACCAGGUUUGGCCACUCGGAGCACGGACUCUUCUCCGGUUCAUCAUUGUCGCUUUUAGUGUCCCAGACUCAAGAGCUGGAGGUUGCUCGUGGACUGCGGGGCUGAGGGGCCUGACAGCUGCGGGGCAGGCCUCCUGCUGACCGGUGGCGGCCGAAGGGCUGAUCCAGUUCAAGGCCCGGCCUCUUAGUUUGGGGCUCUGUCUGUCAUGUGCCUGGUGGGACACCCUCUCCAUUCCUGGAUGGGCUCCUUGAAAGACUGUGCGUUCCCAACUCUGAGCUGCCUCGUCUCAACUGGGUUCACGUCCUGGAUCAGACGGCCCUGUCGCUGUGAUGCAGAGUUUUGCCCGAUGGUGACCAUUCCUGGUGUAGCUGCCUCUUCCCACCCAGGAGGCGCUUUCUGCUCAUUCAAUCCUCAUGCCAGCCGUCUGUCCCACUCCCAAGCCCUCCACUGUGCCAGUCCUGGGUCCUGCUGGCCCCGACCCUUCUCCCACCAAGGCCCAAGAGCUCGCCCCCGCCGGCCCCUGCUGCUGCCACCCCUCCUUUCCCACCAUGGCCGAGCUUUGGGCUGGGGGUGACACGGUGCUGGCGGGCCGGGUUGGAAUCCAGCUGGCCUGUAGUGUCACUCAGCCUCUCUGAGUGGGGAUGUUUUCUUCUCCACGGCGUCCAGGCAGCCCUGCCCCGAAGGGCCUACACUUGCGCAGUUUUCUGCUUGCCUUUUGUUAUUCAGCUGAAACUGACAGCACUCACGGCCUGCACGCAGCCUGAACAGACUGGGACAUGAACCCACGUGCCGGGACUCCAACCCAGCCUAAAGCCAGAGUGGGACUUGAACCCACGGUUUUAAAUUCGAGUUCCUCACCCCGGGUCUGGGCUCAGCAAGACUUAGGUUCCUUAUGCCUCUGCGCAGAAGGAAUUCAGCGAGAGACAAAGUGAAAGGCGAGAAACAGAUUUAUUAGGCUAGGACGCUCGUGAGUUGCAGGCGGGCAGGCGAGGAGGCUGUGCCCGAGGAUGAGGUGGGUGCAGUUUUAUCCUCCGAGGGGUGCGGGGGUGGGAAAGGCCCGCCUCUUUCCGGGAGUUCUAGCUCCUCCUUAGUAUCCAGUAAGGUGUGUCUUCAGACCCCCUGAAAGGGGGGUCUGCAAGCUCUCGCCCCUGGUCUGAAUCUGAAUGCGGGCCCCCUCCCAUCUCCCACCCAGUGACCUGAGGCAGUUCUCGCACCUGCUGGUCAGGCAAGCCUGCCUUGUUCUGAUGGCUUUCUUGAGCUGACAGUGGGUGCCCAGCCCCCCCCCGCCAGGUGUCCCUCUUUGUCUGUGAUCCCCGGCUGGGACUUCCAUGCCCACCUGUGCCUACUCCGUCCCUAUCACAGUGACAUCCAAACAAGUGUAUAUUGUACUUUAUGGUUAUAUUUUGUGUUUAUAUUAUAUAUACAUGUAAAAUCACACACAUGACACAUACAAGUUGUGAUUGGUGUCAUGAUAACGGUGGCCCACCUGGGGGCUGGGUGUUGUCCUUCCCACGUUUCGGGGGGUGCUGCGUGGUGCCCAGAGGGCAAGGUCCCUGAGGCCCGCAGGACCCAGCAGGAAUAGGAUGCCCACACACCUCGCCCUGGGCCUCCUGGCUCUCUCCCUCAGGCACUCCUUGGUCUUAACCUGGAGGACCCCCCACGAGCACAGUCCUGGCUUUGGUAGGGAGCGCAGGGUCUGAGGCGUCUUCACUUUGUAACUACACGCGAUAAGGAUAAGCCCUGGUAAGACGCGUGAAGGCAGGGGAACGCCCAGAAGCGGUGCGUCUUUGAGUUGUUUGUUUUUUUGCUGGGAUGCCAUCAAGUGAGCAGUUAUUACAAGUGCUGCAAGCCCGCCUCCCGUGCUGAUGGCGAAGGCGCUGGGGGACACUCUAGUACUGAGGAGUGGAUGGACACCCGGCCCCCCAUGAAGGAGGGGUCCUGGUGGUGCCCCCCCCCCCGCCCCCGCCCUGGCCUGGCCUGAGGUUUGCGGGACUCACCCUCUCAAAGCCUGGGGACGAGCGCCUCACUGUGGCGUUGUGAGCAGCACCGCGCUGAUUGUCGUCAUCCUAUUAGAUGGAAGGGUGUCGUGGAGCCUGUGUAGCUGCUCUAAACUGCUAACCGCGAAAGGCAGCUGAAGGGACCUGAGUCAGGUCGCCACGUGUGUGGCCUCAGCAGCUGUUUCAGAACCUGUUUCAUUUUUCUUAGGAAAUAGCAAUGGGAUGGCUGGGCCAUGUGCUAAAGGAACGAGAAGUUUCCCACCUGUCUUCUGCUGCCUGCGCCACCUUGUGUGGU
rnacentral:lncRNA from 1 species